AUAGCACACUGUAUUACUUAUACAACUAAUAUAAGGACAGGACAUGAGACGGGAGUAGAAAUGAAAGUGGGCAUUGUUUAAUGCGUUUUACAGGAAGGACAUUCCAAGCAUUUCAACAUAGGUAAGCAAGGGGGGUUACAGGUGCCCUAAAGGGAAAAAAAUAGAAUAUCAAUACACAACAUAUUCCUCCCCCUUUAUGUUUGAUGACUCAUAAGGAAAAAGUAAAUAUUCACUGUUUUGCCUAUUGUUUUCUUUUUAAUAUAAAUUCUCUAAAUGUAAAUAAAUGAACUUUUCAGAAUAACCUUUUCUAAACUAGGGAUAGAGGGUAGACUGCCUCAGUCCCCAGACUUAACCCAGGGGUGUAUUCUGCCCCAAUGUCGGAGGUUAGAAUGAACUAAAUAGUCAACCUGUCAGGGGGUCGUCUUUCUCUUGCAGGGUAAUGACGACGUACAGGUGAGUCUACAGUCACAUUAUCUCUGAGUCUGAGUGGUGAUGGUGUAUGCCCAGACUGGGGUGCAACAGUACCCUGAGUACGCACUCUGGAGCACUUUCCACAUUUGUAGGUUGCAGCAGUGGAUGUUCAGGUGAUAGCUCAUAGUCAUGGUUGGUCUCCAGUUGCUGAUCUUGAUUUGUCACUUGACAUGAGUCAUCUCUGAGGUUGGUUCCUGGCAACAGUUGAUCCACGUGUCUCCUCCAGAUUAUGUUUUCCGGUGUGUGAAAUGUAUAGGACACAGGCCCUGUUUGUGCAACCACUGUGGCUGGUAUCCACUUUGUACCUUUGCAGUAGUUCCGAGCAAGAACUCUCUCUCUAGCUAUGAAGCUUCUGUCUUUUUCUUUGCUCUGUGUCUCCACCUGUGCUUGCUGUUGUGUCUGUACAAACGGUCUCGUCUUUGGAGGUCUCAGGAGGUCGAGUCGCGUGCGAAGCUGUCUUUUCAUCAUGGCUGACGCGGGUGCCACUUUGGUUGUAGCGUGGGGAGUGUUUCUGUAGGUUAACAGGAAGGUGUUUAGACGCCUAUUGAGGGAGCCGUUCCCUUGUGGUGAUUUUAAAGCUUGCUUCAUCGUUUGGACAAACCUUUCAGCGAGGCCGUUCGUUGCAGGGUGAUACGGCGCUGACUUCAUGUGCUGAAUUCAAUUUGCUUCCAUGAAUGACCGGAACUCUUCAGACACCAGUUGGGGGCCAUUAUCACUAACGAGUUGCGUUGGCAAGCCGAAGCGACUGAAGAUUGACCGUAGUUCUUCGAUGGUUGUCUCCGCUGAGGUGCUCUUCAUCACUGUGACCUCAGGCCAUUUGCUGUGUGUGGCAACUACGACUAAGAACAUACGAUCCUCCAGUGGGCCUGCAUAGUUUAUGUGGACUCGCUGCCAAGGCUCCUCUGGGAAGUCCCGUGGGUGUAGUGGCGCUAGCUGAGGCAUGUUCCCCAUCUUUUGACAUGCAGAACAUGACUUGACCUUGUCUUCGAUAGCUGCGUCCAGACCUGGCCACCAAAAGUAGCUGCUUGCAAUCUCCUUCAUUCGCACCACGUCACAGUGCCCUGAAUAGAGUUUUUCAAGCACCUGCCACCUCAGUGGCGGCGGCGGUAUGAUGACUCGAAAACCCCAUAGCAAGCAUCCAAACUGAACUGUGAGCUCGUUUCUCCUCACUAGGUAAGGUUGUAGGCUGUCCGACAUCUCUCCUUUUCCACGAGUGACAAUGUCCACGACCUCAGACAUCACUGGAUCAGAGUGGGUGAACUUUUUCACUUGGACAGAUGUAUCUGGGGCGUUCAUCACUUCCUUGAAGUAGAAGAUUUCAGCCUGGGAGUGCUCAGUGUGUGCGACAGGUAAGGGAAGCCUUGAGAGGCCGUCUGCAUUGCAGUGCUGCUCAGACCUUCUGUACUUGAUAUCGUACUGGUGAGCAGAUAACAAUAACGCCCAUCGCUGCAUGCGGCUGGCUGCAAGCGACGGAAUGCCGGUGUGGGGACCAAAGAUGGAGGUGAGGGGUCUAUGAUCCGUCAGCAGUGUGAAUCGUUGGCCAAACAGAAACUGAUGAAAUUUCUUAACUCCAAACACAAUGGCGAGUGUUUCACGCUCUAUCUGUGCAUAAUUGCUCUCGGCUUUAUUUAAGGUCCGUGCUGCGAAAGCAAUUGGCCUUUCUUCACCUGAUGGCAUGUUGUGUGAGACAACCGCACCAACGCCAUAAGGCGAUGCAUCACAUGCCAACUGUAAUGGCUAGUUGGGGUUGAAGUGGGUUAGGGCCUCUGACUGAGCUAAGGCUGUUUUCACUUUCUUGAAGGCCUCCUCACAUCUGUCUGUCCACUUCCACUGUUUGGUUUUGUUCAAAAGUUCAUGCAGUGGCUUUAACAUGUUAGCUAGGUUUGGCACAAACUUUGCGUAGUAUGUCAGUAGUCCUAAGAAUGAUCUCAGCUGACUCACGUUCUGUGGGGAUGGAGCUUCCGCAACGGCCUUCACCUUCGAUGGCGCCUUGUGGAGCCCCAAACUGUCGAUGACGUGGCCCAGGUACUCAACAGAGGGCCGGACGAACUUGCAUUUGUCCUUCCGGACCCUCAGACAGUACUCCUCCAAUCUCUGUAGUGUAGCGUUCAGGUUUCUCAGGUGCUCCAGCUCGUCUUUGCCGGUGAUGAGUAGAUCAUCGAGGUAACAUUGGACCCCGGUGAGCCCGCUCAGUAUCUGGUCCAUAGCUCUCUGAAACAAGGCCGGAGCUGAGGUGAUUCCAAAAGGAAGCCUCCGGUACCUGUACCGGAGUCCUUUGUGAGUCACUAUGGUCAACAGUUCUUGUGACUCUUGGUACACAUGCAUCUGUAGAUAGACGUAUGUCAGGCCUAUCUUACUGAAUUGUUGUCCUCCAGCUAAACCAGAAAAGAGGUCGUAAAUGAGGGGUAGUGGAUAUUUUUCAGCAGUCAAGACUGGGUUAAUGGUGACUUUGAAAUCACCACAGUGUCAAAUCAAAUCAAAUCAAAUUUAUUUAUAUAGCCCUUCAUACAUCAGCUGAUAUCUCAAAGUGCUGUACAGAAACCCAGCCUAAAACCCCAAACAGCAAGCAAUGCAGGUGUAGAAGCACGGUGGCUAGGAAAAACUCCCUAGAAAGGCCAAAACCUUGGAAGAAACCUAGAGAGGAACCAGGCUAUGUCGGGUGACCAGUCCUCUCUGGCUGUGCCGGGUGGAGAUUAUAACAGAACAUGGCCAAGAUGUUCAAAUGUUCAUAAAUGACCAGCAUGGUCGUAUAAUAAUAAGGCAGAACAGUUGAAACUGGAGCAGCAGCACGGUCAGGUGGACUGGGGACAGCAAGGAGUCAUCAUGUCAGGUAGUCCUGGGGCAUGGUCCUAGGGCUCAGGUCCUCCGAGAGAGAGAGAGAGAAAGAGAGAAUUAGAGAACGCACACUUAGAUUCACACAGGACACCGAAUAGGACAGG
ensembl:lncRNA